UCUGCCUUUAAGCAUCCCAGCGAGGCUGUGAUUCUGGUUUGUCUGUAAUUCUGAGCUCUGCCUAUCAUUCAUCUUUGAAAAUCUGAUUCUGGAAUUCAGUAUCUUGAAUCUUUUUCUUCUUAUUCCUUGGUUCUCAUUCUGAAACUAAGUUGUUGAUUGUUUUCUGAAACACACCAUUCACUCUACCCCUGAGACACCUCUGCUGUGGUUUGAAUGUCUCCUCCAGGUUGAAAUUUGUCAUCAGAACAGUAUUAAGUGGUGCAAUCUUUAAAAGAUGAUUAGGUCAUGAUGGCACCACUCUCAGGAAGAAAUCAAUGCUACUACUGAAGAAGUGGAUUAGAUAUUGCAGGAGUGGGUUCCUGCUACAAAAGGUGCUACUGGCCUGGGAACCACUCUUGGAGAAGCACCAUAUUGCAGCAGGGGAAGCAGGGGAUAGGAAUAAGCAAAGCCUUUGGAAGGAGACCUGGAGUACCCGGCUCUUCACAGACAGGCACUCUCAAGCUGGAUCCCCUCAUCCUUCUGGCUCUGCCUUCAGUGGAAGAGAAGAAUUAUGUAACCCAUGGAUGGCAUCACCACCUUGAACUCCCAGGCUCCCUCAGGUUGCCUCUGCCUCCCGGGGCAGCUCUCUGUUCCUCUCCUCUGCCAAGGAACAUGUGGAGUUUCUAGUGCAGCACACUGAAUCACCGUUCAGAAUUAUGCGGCCCUCCUCGCCUUAGUAUGACACAUCUCCGUCUUUGCCAUCUGCCACUGUAACAGCUCCUCCUAGAAGUCACAUGGGUUUUGCCACCUGACUUGCUCCUGCUGAUGGAAGGUGAGCAGAAGUUAGGAUGAUCAGUGCUGGAAGGAG